GCCAGGCAUGGUGGUGUCUGCCUGUAGUCCCAGCUAUUCAGGAGGCUGAGACAGGAGGAUCGCUUGAGCCCAGGAGGUUGAGGCUGCGGUGAGCUUUGAUUGUGCCACUGCACUCCAGCCUGGGCGACAGAGUGAAACCUUGUCUCAA
rnacentral:SRP_RNA from 1 species